AGCCGGGAUUGCCUUAGUAACGGCGAGUGAAGCGGCAAAAGCUCAAAUUUGAAAUCUGGUACCUUCGGUGCCCGAGUUGUAAUUUGGAGAGGGCAACUUUGGGGCCGUUCCUUGUCUAUGUUCCUUGGAACAGGACGUCAUAGAGGGUGAGAAUCCCGUGUGGCGAGGAGUGCGGUUCUUUGUAAAGUGCCUUCGAAGAGUCGAGUUGUUUGGGAAUGCAGCUCUAAGUGGGUGGUAAAUUCCAUCUAAAGCUAAAUAUUGGCGAGAGACCGAUAGCGAACAAGUACAGUGAUGGAAAGAUGAAAAGAACUUUGAAAAGAGAGUGAAAAAGUACGUGAAAUUGUUGAAAGGGAAGGGCAUUUGAUCAGACAUGGUGUUUUGUGCCCUCUGCUCCUUGUGGGUAGGGGAAUCUCGCAUUUCACUGGGCCAGCAUCAGUUUUGGUGGC
rnacentral:rRNA from 1 species